GACGAACGCUGGCGGCGUGCCUAAUACAUGCAAGUAGAACGCUGAAGGAGGAGCUUGCUUCUCUGGAUGAGUUGCGAACGGGUGAGUAACGCGUAGGUAACCUGCCUGGUAGCGGGGGAUAACUAUUGGAAACGAUAGCUAAUACCGCAUAAGAGUAGAUGUUGCAUGACAUUUGCUUAAAAGGUGCAAUUGCAUCACUACCAGAUGGACCUGCGUUGUAUUAGCUAGUUGGUGGGGUAACGGCUCACCAAGGCAACGAUACAUAGCCGACCUGAGAGGGUGAUCGGCCACACUGGGACUGAGACACGGCCCAGACUCCUACGGGAGGCAGCAGUAGGGAAUCUUCGGCAAUGGACGGAAGUCUGACCGAGCAACGCCGCGUGAGUGAAGAAGGUUUUCGGAUCGUAAAGCUCUGUUGUAAGAGAAGAACGAGUGUGAGAGUGGAAAGUUCACACUGUGACGGUAUCUUACCAGAAAGGGACGGCUAACUACGUG
rnacentral:rRNA from 1 species